NGCCCGUUGGUCAAGUGGUUAAGACACCGCCCUUUCACGGCGGUAACACGGGUUCGAAUCCCGUACGGGUCA
rnacentral:tRNA from 1 species